rnacentral:rRNA from 1 species
CUUGCUCCUGGUGGCGAGUGGCGAACGGGUGAGUAAUACAUCGGAACGUACCCUGAAGUGGGGGAUAACGUAGCGAAAGUUACGCUAAUACCGCAUAUUCUGUGAGCAGGAAAGAGGGGGAUCGCAAGACCUCUUGCUUUAGGAGCGGCCGAUGUCGGAUUAGCUAGUUGGUGAGGUAAAGGCUCACCAAGGCGACGAUCCGUAGCGGGUCUGAGAGGAUGAUCCGCCACACUGGGACUGAGACACGGCCCAGACUCCUACGGGAGGCAGCGGUGGGGAAUUUUGGACAAUGGGCGCAAGCCUGAUCCAGCCAUGCCGCGUGAGUGAAGAAGGCCUUCGGGUUGUAAAGCUCUUUCGGUGGGGAAGAAAUUGCACAGGAUAAUACCUUGUGUAGAUGACGGUACCCGCAUAAGAAGCACCGGCUAACUACGUG